rnacentral:rRNA from 1 species
AAAUUGAAGAGUUUGAUCAUGGCUCAGAUUGAACGCUGGCGGCAGGCCUAACACAUGCAAGUCGAACGGUAACAGGAAGAAGCUUGCUUCUUUGCUGACGAGUGGCGGACGGGUGAGUAAUGUCUGGGAAACUGCCUGAUGGAGGGGGAUAACUACUGGAAACGGUAGCUAAUACCGCAUAAUGUCGCAAGACCAAAGAGGGGGACCUUCGGGCCUCUUGCCAUCGGAUGUGCCCAGAUGGGAUUAGCUUGUUGGUGGGGUAACGGCUCACCAAGGCGACGAUCCCUAGCUGGUCUGAGAGGAUGACCAGCCACACUGGAACUGAGACACGGUCCAGACUCCUACGGGAGGCAGCAGUGGGGAAUAUUGCACAAUGGGCGCAAGCCUGAUGCAGCCAUGCCGCGUGUAUGAAGAAGGCCUUCGGGUUGUAAAGUACUUUCAGCGGGGAGGAAGGGAGUAAAGUUAAUACCUUUGCUCAUUGACGUUACCCGCAGAAGAAGCACCGGCUAACUCCGUGCCAGCAGCCGCGGUAAUACGGAGGGUGCAAGCGUUAAUCGGAAUUACUGGGCGUAAAGCGCACGCAGGCGGUUUGUUAAGUCAGAUGUGAAAUCCCCGGGCUCAACCUGGGAACUGCAUCUGAUACUGGCAAGCUUGAGUCUCGUAGAGGGGGGUAGAAUUCCAGGUGUAGCGGUGAAAUGCGUAGAGAUCUGGAGGAAUACCGGUGGCGAAGGCGGCCCCCUGGACGAAGACUGACGCUCAGGUGCGAAAGCGUGGGGAGCAAACAGGAUUAGAUACCCUGGUAGUCCACGCCGUAAACGAUGUCGACUUGGAGGUUGUGCCCUUGAGGCGUGGCUUCCGGAGCUAACGCGUUAAGUCGACCGCCUGGGGAGUACGGCCGCAAGGUUAAAACUCAAAUGAAUUGACGGGGGCCCGCACAAGCGGUGGAGCAUGUGGUUUAAUUCGAUGCAACGCGAAGAACCUUACCUGGUCUUGACAUCCACGGAAGUUUUCAGAGAUGAGAAUGUGCCUUCGGGAACCGUGAGACAGGUGCUGCAUGGCUGUCGUCAGCUCGUGUUGUGAAAUGUUGGGUUAAGUCCCGCAACGAGCGCAACCCUUAUCCUUUGUUGCCAGCGGUCCGGCCGGGAACUCAAAGGAGACUGCCAGUGAUAAACUGGAGGAAGGUGGGGAUGACGUCAAGUCAUCAUGGCCCUUACGACCAGGGCUACACACGUGCUACAAUGGCGCAUACAAAGAGAAGCGACCUCGCGAGAGCAAGCGGACCUCAUAAAGUGCGUCGUAGUCCGGAUUGGAGUCUGCAACUCGACUCCAUGAAGUCGGAAUCGCUAGUAAUCGUGGAUCAGAAUGCCACGGUGAAUACGUUCCCGGGCCUUGUACACACCGCCCGUCACACCAUGGGAGUGGGUUGCAAAAGAAGUAGGUAGCUUAACCUUCGGGAGGGCGCUUACCACUUUGUGAUUCAUGACUGGGGUGAAGUCGUAACAAGGUAACCGUAGGGGAACCUGCGGUUGGAUCACCUCCUUACCUUAAAGAAGC